AGGGGUAUAGCUCAGCGGUAGAGCGACGGUCUCCAAAACCGUAGGUCGUGGGUUCGAUCCCCUCUGCCCCUGCCA
rnacentral:tRNA from 2 species